rnacentral:lncRNA from 1 species
GAAGUGGCCGUGGGUUCCCAUUCUGACACAUGAGAGGGAAGAGAAGCUGACACUGCCUCUCCCUCACUUCCUGCCUAGAAUGUGGAAGUGAUGCUCAGUGCAAACCAAGUUAUGAAAGAGCAGAGGGAGCAGAAAGGGAAGAGUCUCUUCACAGAGAAGAUCAGAGAGACCAGGAGGAGGCCACAUGGCCUCUGAGAGAAGCCGGGGUGAGACCGAGGCCUGGAGCAGCCCAGACUUGUCACGCCAUCUUCUGGAACAUCACCCUGACUCCCCAAACCCUGAGCUCCAGCCCGAGUAUCUUGCGACUCCGUUACCUGCCGUCACGGUCGGAGGUGCCUGUUCUGGCCAAGGUGUUCCGUGCGCCCGACAAGACUGUUUGAACUAGGUUGGCAUCUGUCACGGUACAAAGCGUCCCUCCCGUUCUGGCCUGCCCCACACGGUAUCGCCAGCACUGCCAACACCCGGAGGGCUCUUGUCGGGAUGGUGAAGCCGUUCACUGGAAACCUGCCACGGGCAACCAGCGAGCAAGAGAUCCGCCCACCCUUGGAGCAGCAUGGGAAGGUGCUGGAAUGUGACCUCAUCAAGAACUGCAGCUUUGUGCACGUGGAAGACGAAACUGCAGCUGAGGGUGCCAUGCGGGGCCUGCACCGCCACAAGCUGCACGGG